CGGGAUGUGGCUCAGCCUGGUAGAGCGCCGCGUUCGGGACGCGGAGACCGCUGGUUCAAAUCCAGUCAUCCCGACCA
rnacentral:tRNA from 3 species